rnacentral:misc_RNA from 1 species
GGGAACCAAGAAAUAUAGCCUCUCCCAUAUCUUGUAACAGUCAGAUUUUGCACCAUCAUUCACUAUAUUAGCACAAAAUUCCUUUUCAGCUUGUUGGUGGUUCUCAAUUGCAUUCUUCAAUUGAAGAAUGGCAAGAACCAUGGCGAGGAAUGGUUUCGUCAAACGGCAAUCAUAGACCUUGUGGGUACUUGAGAGAACCAAGGCAGAAGGUUUGGAGCGAAA